GGCCUUGUAGCUCAAAUGGAUAGAGCAUUGGCUCUACUAAAGCCUUCCCCUUUAUAUGGAGGGUUCGAAUCUCACCGAGGCCG
rnacentral:tRNA from 1 species